UGGGACCUACCCAUGUGUGAGUCUCUCUUCUUCGUGCAAAACCCCUUAUUCUCCCCUCACUUUUUUUUGUCAUCCCCACUCCUGUCUCUUUUCUCCCUCGGCUCCUCUUCUCUCUUCUCCCUCUGUCCCUCAUCCUUCUAUUCUCUUUCUUGGCUCACUUCUCCCCGAGCAACACAGCCACCAUGUUCUCCGACGACUUCAAACACCAAAUCACCACCAUCCUCGUCCCAACCUCACACCAAACAUGGAACUAGAACCCAAAGUCCCAGAACUUAGACUCGAACCUCAAAUCGGAGAACCAUAGCUCCGUCUCGAAUUCGAGAGAGUUCCAGCGAGUUCAUUGCUUUCUCUACCGAGGUAAGGUCCAGAGUCGCUCUUCAGUUAUUUCUCUCAUAUUUAAGGCCCUUCCCUCAUUUCUUCCAAGCAAAUCCCAGCCCUGCCAUUAGAAUUAGUAGAGCCACAACCCAAAAUCACUUUCAUCGUCGCAGAUCCGCUUCAUCCUCCUACAAUUUUUUUUUGUAACGCUGCAACCCAAAACUCAUAAAUUGUAAAUCUGACGCAACCAUGGAGUCUUGGAAAUUCCUUGAGCUUAGUACCACCUCAGUACUGCAAUCGACACCCAAAAGGUAAGCCCUAUAAAUCUCCUUGUACAUUUCUUGUCCUUUAACCUUCCUUGUUCAGUCUGAUCCGUGAAAUCCUCAUGCAUGUGGUUGCUUCUCUGUGUAUGACUUUCUCUCCUUCAUCUUCACUACAAAUCCCAACGCAAAUCCGUCUAUACAAGAAGUGUCUCAUAGAUCCUCACGCCCUCAAAGGUGAUAUUGUGAACUUAUUCAAAUCAUUUUAGAGAAAAUACAUCUACUUUGAUAUUCAUGUAUUUUCCUUUCAUUUUCGUUGUUCUUGUAAGUUGUGUGGUUUCUUUAUCUUGGAGGUUUUUAUUCAUAACCUUAGCAGGAAGAGGCCCAAAUUCUAUAUAGACAGGCUGAUUAAUUUAUUUGUGGAACAAGAUGGGAUGAAGUAAAAGCUUUCUGGGAAAGAUUCAAGUGUUCAGAAAUGCUUGUUUUCAUUAUUCGUAUGAAUUGAUUGUUUGUAGAACUAAAUUGUAAAAGCAUUUUUGUAAUAUUUGAAUUUUGUUUUUAA